rnacentral:tRNA from 1 species
AGGUAGGGUGGCCGAGUAGGUGGCAGGCUGUAGUCCUGUUCACGGGGCAGUGCCCCCCCAACCAG